rnacentral:rRNA from 1 species
GAGGAAAAGAAACCAACAGGGAUUGCCUCAGUAGCGGCGAGUGAAGCGGCAAAAGCUCAAAUUUGAAAUCUGGCGUCUUUGGCGUCCGAGUUGUAAUUUGAAGAAGGUAUCUUUGGGCCCGGCUCUUGUCUAUGUUCCUUGGAACAGGACGUCACAGAGGGUGAGAAUCCCGUGCGAUGAGAUGACCCGGGUCUGUGUAAAGUUCCUUCGACGAGUCGAGUUGUUUGGGAAUGCAGCUCUAAGUGGGUGGUAAAUUCCAUCUAAAGCUAAAUAUUGGCGAGAGACCGAUAGCGAACAAGUACAGUGAUGGAAAGAUGAAAAGAACUUUGAAAAGAGAGUGAAAAAGUACGUGAAAUUGUUGAAAGGGAAGGGCUUGAGAUCAGACUUGGUAUUUUGCAUGCUGCUCUCUCGGGGGCGGCCGCUGCGGUUUACCGGGCCAGCAUCGGUUUGGAGCGGCAGGAUAAUGGCGGAGGAAUGUGGCACGGCUUCUGCUGUGUGUUAUAGCCUCUGACGAUACUGCCAGCCUAGACCGAGGACUGCGGUUUUUACCUAGGAUGUUGGCAUAAUGAUCUUAAGUCGCCCGUCUUGAA